AAUGUUGUUCUGAAACACAUGGCGGAGGCAGAGAAAUCAGUACGUGCUAAGUCAUCCAAGCUGUGGCCGCAUUUCACACUAUAUAAAUUGAAAAGGUGUGUUAACUGCAAGAUGUGCAAAAGCGACAUGGCAUGGCACGGUAGCACCACAAUGAUGAUUCAGCACCUACAACGUAACCAUGUUGGAGUCUGUGAUGAGGAAGAAGGGAGUUCAACAGCAGGGUGAGUCACUACAGAACCCUACUUUUGUUCCAUUUUGAAGUGAGGAACGAAAUGUCCCUUUCAGUAGCUCUUCUGGUGCUGGUGUUUACUCGUUAUACAGCUUGACAAGCAUGACAAGCUAGCGUUAGCUCGUUAAUAACAGUAGUAGACUAAAGCAGGGAUGGUAUAGUUUGGAAGACUAAAGACAUGUUUUUAUUCACUCGCCUUUUUUGGCCCAUUAAUUUGUCAAUCUGUUGUCAUGUAUAUAUUCUGUGCUUUGUCCCAUAUCGGUUAUAAUUGACAAAUAUAUGUGUGUGUGUUCCUACCUUUUAACUUCAUUUUAAAGUUUUUUUAUAGCACUUGGUCAUCUUAAGCCGUUUUUAAAUGUGGUCUAUAAAUGAACUUAACUUGCACUUACUACAAUGAUAGUAAUAAUUUCAUGAAUAAGCUUCAAGUGAACUUGUGGUAUGUGUGUGUCUUGUCUGUAUCUGCUCUUUGGGUUACUUACCUUUACACAACUAGUAACUAAAACAACAAGUAUGUAAGUAUGUAUUGAGUUGAUGGAAAU